AUUGAACGCUGGCGGCAGGCCUAACACAUGCAAGUCGAACGGUAACAGGAAGCAGCUUGCUGCUUCGCUGACGAGUGGCGGACGGGUGAGUAAUGUCUGGGAAACUGCCUGAUGGAGGGGGAUAACUACUGGAAACGGUAGCUAAUACCGCAUAACGUCGCAAGACCAAAGAGGGGGACCUUAGGGCCUCUUGCCAUCGGAUGUGCCCAGAUGGGAUUAGCUAGUAGGUGGGGUAACGGCUCACCUAGGCGACGAUCCCUAGCUGGUCUGAGAGGAUGACCAGCCACACUGGAACUGAGACACGGUCCAGACUCCUACGGGAGGCAGCAGUGGGGAAUAUUGCACAAUGGGCGCAAGCCUGAUGCAGCCAUGCCGCGUGUAUGAAGAAGGCCUUCGGGUUGUAAAGUACUUUCAGCGGGGAGGAAGGGAGCAAAGUUAAUACCUUUGCUCAUUGACGUUACCCGCAGAAGAAGCACCGGCUAACUCCGUG
rnacentral:rRNA from 1 species